GGCUGACACCACGGAGCAGUAGUAGACCCCGCUGUCACCCCAGGCCGUCUGGUCAAACACCAGAUGGAGAAGGUCAACCUGGUACCUGGAUUUCCACCAACAGCACUUCAAACACAGGAGCCGAGGAAGUGGACUGUGGAGAUGAUCCAGGGUUUCAGCCCAGGGCCAUCUUUGAGACCCUGCAGCAGCUCCUCAGUGGCCCUUACGUUGAGGAAGACCUGGUGUAUCUGUGUUGGGGCGUGGCAGGGGCCGUUCUCUGGGAGCUGAGCCUUCAGCUGCCUUGGUAGUUGGAACCACUUUUAGACCACCAUGGGAAUUGCAGUGCCAGGCUCAGGCUCCCGCCUGGCACUGGGCAGACCCUCCGGCCCGGCCUCCCGCCCUGCGUACACUGGGCAGACCCUGCAGCACAAGCCCUGCACACUGGGAUUCUGGCAGGGGAGAAUCCUGGGCUUCGGUGAGGCCAGGCAAUCGGUGUCCGGUAUGGGGUACCUGCCGCCAGUGGGACUUGUGCUCGAGCUGUGUGUGCGGUCGUGGGGCUGACUGGCACUGCACCAUC